UACCAGCUCCUCGAGUGGUUGGGACGAUUAUUGGGUCUAAAGCGUCCGUAGCCGGCUGGAAAAGUUCUCCGUAAAAUCCAACGAUCCAAUCGUUGGAUCGCGGGGAAUACUUUCCGGCUUGGGGGCGGGGGAGGUCGGCGGUAGUCCCGGGGUAGGGGCGAAAGAGGAAACGAAGAGUUUCCAUUCGCAGUCUUAUAAUCCCGGGAGGACCACCAGUGGCGAAGGCGGCCGACUAAAACGCGCCCGACGGUGAGGGACGAAAGCUGGGGGAGCGAACGGG
rnacentral:rRNA from 1 species